AGGGUCUACAAAGAGCAAAUAAAUACUCGGGCGUCAUGUGGUAGUGAGUGGGUUGAGCACGGUUUUCCUCUUAAAGUACAACCGGUUACGUUCCUUUAAAUAUUUAUUUUUUAGGUGACUGGGCAAAGUU
ensembl:ncRNA C35A11.11 ncRNA